AGUGAACGCUGGCGGUAGGCCUAACACAUGCAAGUCGAACGGCAGCACAGGAGAGCUUGCUCUCUGGGUGGCGAGUGGCGGACGGGUGAGGAAUACAUCGGAAUCUACUUUUUCGUGGGGGAUAACGUAGGGAAACUUACGCUAAUACCGCAUACGACCUACGGGUGAAAGCAGGGGAUCUUCGGACCUUGCGCGAUUGAAUGAGCCGAUGUCGGAUUAGCUAGUUGGCGGGGUAAAGGCCCACCAAGGCGACGAUCCGUAGCUGGUCUGAGAGGAUGAUCAGCCACACUGGAACUGAGACACGGUCCAGACUCCUACGGGAGGCAGCAGUGGGGAAUAUUGGACAAUGGGCGCAAGCCUGAUCCAGCCAUACCGCGUGGGUGAAGAAGGCCUUCGGGUUGUAAAGCCCUUUUGUUGGGAAAGAAAUCCAGCUGGCUAAUACCCGGUUGGGAUGACGGUACCCAAAGAAUAAGCACCGGCUAACUUCG
rnacentral:rRNA from 1 species